rnacentral:rRNA from 1 species
CCUACGGGAGGCUGCAGUGGGGAAUAUUGGACAAUGGGGGGAACCCUGAUCCAGCCAUGCCGCGUGUGUGAAGAAGGCCCUCGGGUUGUAAAGCACUUUCAGUGAGGAAGAACGCCUGGUGGUUAAUACCCAUCAGGAAAGACAUCACUCACAGAAGAAGCACCGGCUAACUCCGUGCCAGCAGCCGCGGUAAUACGGAGGGUGCGAGCGUUAAUCGGAAUUACUGGGCGUAAAGCGCGCGUAGGUGGCUUGAUAAGCCGGUUGUGAAAGCCCCGGGCUCAACCUGGGAACGGCAUCCGGAACUGUCAAGCUAGAGUGCAGGAGAGGAAGGUAGAAUUCCCGGUGUAGUGGUGAAAUGCGUAGAGAUCGGGAGGAAUACCAGUGGCGAAGGCGGCCUUCUGGACUGACACUGACACUGAGGUGCGAAAGCGUGGGUAGCAAACAGGAUUAGAUACCCGAGUAGUC